AUGGUACAAGGUAAAUGGCAUUUUAAAAAGCCAUUUCUCAUUGCAUUUCUGGUGCCCAGUAUAGAGUCUUUAUAUGUACCAGAUUCUCUGAUGCAGUUAAUAACUUUUUCCUCAAGGGUCUUCUCCUAAAUUCUCUAUUUUCAGAUAUUAUCAUAAUUUGUGUAAGAUGGCCUGGAUCCUGAACCUCCAUCCCUCAAGGAGCAGCCAAUGGUGAUUAUAAACUCCUAACUGUAGAAAUAUAUGAGGAAAAGGCAACUUCAUUAUUACUAACCAA
rnacentral:lncRNA from 1 species